UACGUAGGGGGCAAGCGUUGUCCGGAUUUAUUGGGCGUAAAGAGCGUGUAGGCGCCAGACAGGUCCGUUGUGAAAACUCGAGGCUCAACCUCGAGACGUCGAUGGAAACCGUCUGGCUAGAGUCCGGAAGAGGAGAGUGGAAUUCCUGGUGUAGCGGUGAAAUGCGUAGAUAUCAGGAGGAACACCUGCGGUGUAGACGGCUUUCUGGACCAUGCUGACGCUGAGACACGAAAGCGUGGGUAGCAAACAGG
rnacentral:rRNA from 1 species